UUUUGUAAAUAUGGACUGCAGUUAC
rnacentral:piRNA from 1 species